rnacentral:lncRNA from 1 species
GUAUAUGUUUGAUAUAAAUUUGCAGACUUGUAUAUAAAAUCAUAACAUUCUGUUCGUAGCGUCUAUGAAAUGGCUAACGGACGGCAGAUCUUUUGGCCGGCUGUGAAACUGUUUGGUUUGCCGCCGGUGAGAUUAGUAACUACUUCUCACAGCUUUCUCCAACAUCGAUCCCCAUUACAUUUACAACCAGCUAGCUUUCCUUUCACAAGCAACUCUAUCUAGCUAUGCACCCUUCACUUAUAUCCUUACAAACAAAUUCAUAUCAAUCCAGCCUACAUUCUCCACAACUGAACUAGCUACCAGCUUACCACAAACAGGAAACAAAUAUUUUAUUGUUUCGGUUAACCAAAGAAUCGGGUCAUCAUUUGAUAACCAACGUAAAAUUAGCCAUCUUUCAGAUUGAGACACUGUUCGGAAUUCCCUUCCCAGUGAGCCCUCCUUCUCUGGAGUAAUCCGAUGUACUCGGAAACAGCAACGUGUAAGGUACCUUAACCGGCCCAACUCUGUUCUUCAAUCUAGGGUUAUUGUUCAUUUCCAUGAUUCUCCCCUCAAUUUUGACUAGCUUAUCCCCAAAUCGUUUGAACGCCGCUAGCGGUUCAUCGUCUGUAGUCCACUCCACUGUUUCUCGCUGGCCAAGGUAAACCUCGUCUGUGGAAUGCCUUGAUAGCGAUUCAAUGAGUGAUAUCCCUAGCAGAGUUUGUAGCUGCGCUGUGAUUGUUUUCAGGUAGGCCAAGUCCGGAUCUUUCUCUAAUUCCACAUAUUCAGGAGUACCUAGCUCCGGCAUGAAACGCCGGCUGAUGGUGGGACGGUUUGGGAGGUAUCCAGCGUAAGGGUAUUGCCCGAAAUUCACUGCUGCGUGGAGCGCUGAAGCUACCCAUAUGAUGAUGGUGCAUGAUUGUGUGAGGUCUUGGAAAUUUUGCAUCUCUGGCCACCAUGGUUCGUCUUUCUUAUCUCCAUGGCCUUCGUUUCUCAAUUCUGACCACCAGGAUUGGAGUUCCUCGUCGUUCUGGAUCAACUCAUCUGUAGGGUAGUAGAAACUGCAGUACUCCUGCACCCAUGUUUCGAUUGCUGACCAAAUUUCUAGUCCAUCGUUGGCGUAAGGGUAGUCCUCUAUCAGAAGUUUGAGCCCAUGUGGCUUGGUUUGAUCUGGUACUGCUACUCCUCUGAAAGUUUGAUACAGUCUUCUAAAUCAGAAAUCUGGAUACAAGACCUUGAUAAUAAUACCAGUUGAAGAUUUUUCAUGGUUUUUCUUACCUCUUUAUCAGGUCGGCAGGGAGUCCUUGUUCAGUGAAUAUCCAGUUUUUGUACACAACAGCUGACAUUUCCAUGGCGUAUCUUGCUGGGAAGACUGUCAUCUCUAGUAUACCACCAGCAUUGAUAAGGAUCUGUCUGGCAAAUGCAUUUAUAUUCAUUGUGUCGCGGAAGUGUGGUUGCAGAAGCUUGUGUAUUGGGUGGAUAACACUCAGCUGCCUGUUUGUAGCAAUUACGAAAGGCUCUAUCACAGCAUGAGUGUUCAACCUGCAAAAUCAGGGUUGCUUGAUUAACUCUAUUGUGAUUCUUUUACCUUACUAUAUAUUCAACAAACCAUACCAGUGACUGAUGAGUUGGUGGUAUCCGGAAUCAUUCACUGCAACAUAGGCUUUAGCUAGUUGCCAAAUUGAGCCCUCAACUCCAGCUUCUGCUGGAGUGAAUACCUUGCUGACCCCACCGUGGCGAUUCCCCUGUGGAUGAGGGAGGCUUAGUUCAAUAGCCAAUGGCUUCAGUGUUCCAUCAUCUUGAAGAAAGAGAAUUGUUCUGGUGGCAUACGUCUUUGUAGUGGUUGAGUUUAUUUUCCUCAAGUAUAGCAUCAAUGCAUCAUGAUGAUCCAAUAUAAACAGUCUAUUUCUUGCAAUUGCCUGUGACAGAGAAGAGACAACUUUUGAUUAGGAAACUUUGUUAAAAGUUGACCUCAUAUUUGAAUAUGAAUAAAUAAAAAACCUAAGCAUGAUUGACAUACUUCAUCAACAGUGAGACCAUCCAUAUUAAGCUCUAUCUCCUCCUUCUUUAUAGUACUAUGCUGGUUUCCGUAUUCUUUAGGGUCUAGCUGGCUGGCUGGUGGAAACUCCUGCAGAACACAAAUAUCAUGUAAAAAAUCAGUCCAAUUUGGCAAUUUGAUUGCAGAGCAUAAAUGAGUUGUUAGUAGUUCGGAUUUGUACUCUCAGGCGACUGAUGAUGACAGGAUUGACUCCAGCGAGCAUCUCUCGAGCAAACUCUUCAUCAGUCCUCCAAGCAGACUUAUCCUCUGGAACCAUACCAUGGUAACCUCAGACUUAACAUCUCUACUGUAGAAUUAUAUGCAUUAUUGUAAGCUAUUGAUGCUGUAUCUAAAAUAUAGAAUUUCCUUUGCAUACCUUUGAUUACAUCAGGCGUAGGGAACUUGAGAAAUCUCUCACCAUCGUUGCGAACAAGUUCUUUCAGCAGUUCCCAUGGUAUGUUAUUUCUUAUCUUGCUGAUCUUGGCUUUACUUGGCAAUUUGAUGCCCCCUUCGUAGAGGUUGAAAACAUCCUCGAAAGAGUCAAACUCAUUGAUUGUCUUGUCAAAUAAAGAGUAUAUCUCCGGGACAAGUACUUGGACGAUGGACUUAAGACCAUAUGCCAGAAAGUCUGAGAACUUCACAUGUCCAAACCGUUCAUCCCUUGGCACAUAGAUAUCUAGGCUCAGAAGAGGCAAUCUGCUCUCUGAAUUGGGAUCUGUUGUGAACAUGAAAAAGAAACUGUCGUCAAAUUUCUGUUUCACUUAUUGUAUAUCAAGGUGUCCAGUACUAGAACAUAGAUGUGUCACCUUUAUUGGUUGGCUUUCGGCCUGUUCUUCCUCUUCUGGGAUAUGGAUAGUCCUUGGAUCCACCAAUAACUGGGCGUGCAUAUGCUUCCCCCUUAUCAGGACUUCCCAAAUCAUUGUAGUAAGCAUAGUCAUAAACUCUAUCCCACUCCUUGAGCUCCCCUUUCCCGUCACCUCGGAGAUUGACAAGCUCUUCUUCUCUGUACUUUCGCAAUGGCUCUGGUGUUUGACAUGGUAGGUAGGUCUGAACAGAAGCAUGACAGAAGUUGUUUAGAUAAAAAUCUGAUCUUUUUUCUUUUCUUUUAUCAGAGUUUGAUGCUUAGAGUAAGAUUAACUCCACUCAUAUUAUUCUAACUCCAUAUUAUUCUAAAGUUAGCCGAUACCCCAAAAGUAGGAUUGAGACAGCCAAUUGAAAAAUAAAAGUCGGGAAGGAAUCAUGAUGCAAUCAAUGAUAAAAAAAUAAGUUGGAAAAAUGUUGCUGAUUUGGGAGUUCAUCGUCUAGAGUUCCAUUUCCUAUUCGUAAUGCAAAGCUGGUAUGCAUGCCCUUGCCUCAGUAGGAAAAAAAUUAUUACCUUGUUUGAGAAGAAAACGCGGUGAUAUUUGUAUCUAUGCACAGGAUAAACCCAUGAGUUGCAGACGAAAUGGACGCGGCCAUGUCCAGGGACGUGUUCCAACGUGAGCGUCUUGAGGUAAAACUGACUGUGGUGAUGGUUUCUAAUAAUGAAAGCGCCAGGAACGCCCAUAGUGGUGUGUUCCCAGUCGAAGGUAAUGGCGAAAGCAGUAUCUGUAGCUGUUACAGGUGUGAUCUUCUGAGUCCAUUUCUCCAAGAAUGCUGCUUUCCCAAUCUUCCCUCCCAGCCCAUUCGCUGAACACGUAAGUAGAGAGGGCAGGAAGUUUCCCACUGUCAGCUUACAUAACAAAGAAAAAGGCAAUAGCUUUCUUUGUUUUCAUUGAAGAAAGUUCCUUUCUUUUUUCUUUUGCAGUGCAAGUCAUUUAUUGGGCAUUGAUGAAAACAGAGAGAAAGAGAGGAAAAAGAGUUGACCUGGGUCUGGAAGGGAGCUAAUGAGGUGAAGAGAGACGCCUUUGCCGAGAAGCUCGUGAAUUCGAUCAAGAAAGGAAGCCUUGGCGUCGUUCAAAUCCAAGACGUUCUUUCUCAUCAACACUAGAGUUGCGUGGAUCUUCUUGUCGGAUUCCGGUGCUGCGCCUUUGGGAGUGGUUUUGGGGAGCAGGCAGCAGCUUCCCAUCUUCUUCUUUCGUGG